rnacentral:lncRNA from 1 species
AUGUGGGUGCAGGGCCCAAGCACUUGGGCCAUCCUCCACUGCCUUCCCAGGGAGCUGGGUCAGAAGCGAAGCAGCCAGGUCUCAAACCAGCACCCAUAUGGGAUGCUGUCAUCUGAGGCGGUGGCUUUGCCCGCUACGCCACAGCAUGGCCCCCGAUGGAGUGAUUUCUGGAGCGAGGAGGGACUCUGCCUGUGCCCUCGUGGCCUGCACCAUUUCCCUCCUGUCACGGGGACUCCUGGGUCACUUCCCAGGGGCCAGUCCUGCUGGAGGGACUCGGCCAGCGCCUGGGGGCCGCUGUGCCGGCUGCAGAACUGCGCUGUGACGGCUGCAGAACCGCGCUGUGCCAGCUGCAGAACCGCGCUGUGCCGGCUGCAGAACCGCGCUGUGCCGGCUGCAGAACCCUGCUGUGCUGGCUGCAGAACCGCGCUGUGCCGGCUGCAGAACCGCGCUGUGCCGGCUGCAGAACCCUGCUGUGCCGGCUGCAGAACCGCGCUGUGCCGGCUGCAGAACCCUGCUGUGCUGGCUGCAGAACCGCGCUGUGCCGGCUGCAGAACCGCGCUGUGCCGGCUGCAGAACCCUGCUGUGCCGGCUGCAGAACCGUGCUGUGCCGGCUGCAGAACCGCGCUGUGCCAGCUGCAGAACCCUGCUGUGCUGGCUGCAGAACCGCGCUGUGCCGGCUGCAGAACCCUGCUGUGCCGGCUGCAGAACCCUGCUGUGCCGGCUGCAGAACCGCGCUGUGCCAGCUGCAGAACCGCGCUGUGCCGGCUGCAGAACCGCGCUGUGCCGGCUGCAGAACCGUGCUGUGCCGGCUGCAGAACCGCGCUGUGCCGGCUGCAGAACCCUGCUGUGCUGGCUGCAGAACCGCGCUGUGCCGGCUGCAGAACCGCGCUGUGCCAGCUGCAGAACCGCGCUGUGCCGGCUGCAGAACCGCGCUGUGCCAGCUGCAGAACCGCGCUGUGCCGGCUGCAGAACCGCGCUGUGCCGGCUGCAGAACCGUGCUGUGCCGGCUGCAGAACCGCGCUGUGCCGGCUGCAGAACCCUGCUGUGCUGGCUGCAGAACCGCGCUGUGCCGGCUGCAGAACCGCGCUGUGCCGGCUGCAGAACCCUGCUGUGCCGGCUGCAGAACCGCGCUGUGCCGGCUGCAGAACCGCGCUGUGCCAGCUGCAGAACCCUGCUGUGCCGGCUGCAGAACCGCGCUGUGCCGGCUGCAGAACCGCGCUGUGCGUGCUCAGUCCGCAGAGCUUCAGGCCCCUGCGUCUCCUCUGCUUUUGCGAGUUGCCCAAGUGCUCUUCUCUGCCCCACGCGGGCUGGUGCUCGUGCGUUCCCUGUGUGUGUCUGUCCUUCGUGGUUUUCACCAGCUGUUUCAGUAGCUGUUUAGCGACCCCUCCCCCCAGGGUUCCAAGCAGGCGCAGGUGGGCGAGUGGCGCUGUGUGCUGGGCGAGCAUCUCUGCGGCUCUCCUGUCAUUGCUUCUCUCCCCUUGUCGCACAUCCCGCUGGUGUGCAGGCGCCGGGGCCUUCUCCUCUCGCUCCCUGACGUAG